GAUGAACGCUGGCGGCGUGCUUAAUACAUGCAAGUCGAGCGAACAGACGAGGAGUUUGACUCUCUGAUGUUAGCGGCGGACGGGAGAGUAACAUGAGGAUAAUCUACCUCUAUGACUGGGAUAAAUUCGGGACACCGGAGCUAACACCGGAUAAUAUAUCGAACCGCAUGGUUUUAUAGUGAAAGAUGGUUUUGCUGUCAUUUAUUGACGGACUCGCGCCGUAUUAGCUAGUUGGUAAGGUAACGACUUACCAAGGCAAAGAUGCGUAGCCGACCUGAGAGGGGGAUCGGCCGCACGAGAGCUGGGACACGGACCAUACUCCUACGAGAGGCAGCAGUAGGGAAUCUUCCGCAGUGGGCGAAAACCUGGCGCAGCGGCGCCGCGUGAGUGAUGGAGGUCUUCGGAUCGUAAAGCUCUGUUAUUAGGGAAGAACAAAUGUGUAAGUGACUGUACACGUCUUGACGGUACCUAAUCAGAAAGCCACGGCUAACUACGUG
rnacentral:rRNA from 1 species